rnacentral:lncRNA from 1 species
UGCUCAUCUCCUCUCCCCAUCUAAUUGCCUCUGCUGGCUUGCCAGUUGCUGAUCUGUUGCUUUAGCAGGUGAUACUGAAAACCAGAUGCACCUGAAUCCCCAGGUCAUAUGCAUUCUCACUAACAUAAUGUUUCUCUAUCAUAAAACAUUUUCAGGCAGAAAGUGACACCUUGCAAGAUAGAUUUCAUGAAAUCAUCAAAGCUAGAUACUCAAGAUGUCAUUCAAAGAAGAGGACGUUGCACGUGGAGAUUUGACUGAAAUACUUUGCACU